AUAAUUGAUGUAUGGAUAUUGUGUCUUCAGACACAAGGUUUGAACUCUGACAUUUGUGGGUGGACUCUUGACGUAGCCAUGCAAACUCAUUAACAUUUGGUGCAGACUGGAAUUCCUUGGUAAAAGGGCCGGUUGAGGUCAACACACCCAAUAGUUGUCAUCAUUACCUUCCCAUCCAAUCUGAAUUAUCUAUGCUUUGUUACCUGGUCAUUGAUCCUGGCUAUCCCCAAGAAAGCCUGGGGUAAAGGCGUGAUUCCCUCUCUUGUUCCAGCAAUCUUAAAGCUUCACUACUGUCUCUUUACUGGCCUCCCUUGGCCACAUGCUUUCUAUCACGGAAUCCGUACUUCCAUGUGUCUGCAAGCUUCUCACAUUUUCCUUUAAUUCUUUGACCAAGGAAAAUACCAUAGGGGAUCACGCCUGCCCUAUCUAUUACUUUGACUUGUCUCUGUCUGUCAUUCUUCACCCAUAUUCUCAGACUCCUCGCUCCUUCUCGAGUCCCAACCCACAAGGGGAAAAUCCCUUUUUAUAACCGCCACUGGCAGGUUAUAUUUGGCACCCCUGCUAUGGGAAAAAACCUUUGUUACAGGCGUUAAGAAUUCAAGCGUGUGCAACUCGAGAAGCCCCCACUGGAGCAUCGAGCCAAAAAGAUGGAACCUGCAGGUGGCCUCUGGGGUUCUCAGACUCCCUGCCCCUCCUCAGGUCCAACCCACAAAGCGAAGAUCUCUUCUUGUAGCCCCUGCUGGCCAGGAGACGCUACACGCAGGUCAAGAAGAAAAUAUUACAAACAACCAAAAAGAAACAAUUCAAAUAUCAUGGAGCCACAAGGAUAACAUAGCAACUUUUACAUUAAAGGAUCAGAGGGCCUGGAAUAUGAUAUCCCAGAGGGUUGUGGAGCCUUUGUGGAACCAAGAAUCUCUAACUGAAGAAAACUGAGGAUAAUCUGGGGGGGGAGGGGGGAUGAGUAUUCAUCAAACUAGAGAACUUCCAAACAUUCCUGAUGAAAAGCCCAAAGCCAAAUGGAAAAUCUCUCAAAUAUAAGACUCAAAAGAAGCAUAAAAAGGCAAACAGGAAACAGAAGUCAAAAGUCAUUCAAUAAGUUUAAACUGUUUAUAUACCUAUGUGGGAAGAUGAUUCUUGUAACUCCCAAGAACUUUGUUAGGGCUGUUAGAAGGAGAAUAUAGAGAGAGAGGGUAUGGGUGUUAGUUGAACAGGAUGGGAUGAUACCUAAAAAAAAAAAAUACGGCAUGAGAGAGAGGAAUGCAUUGGGAGAAGGAGGAAGGGAAGAAUAGAAUGGGAUAAAUUAUUGCAAAUAAAAGAGGGAUGAAAGAGCUUUCA
rnacentral:lncRNA from 1 species